rnacentral:rRNA from 1 species
AAGGAUUGGGCGUGUUUACCAUGCAUUCAAACGAUGAAGCCGCUUCGGUGGUGGAUUAGUGGCGAACGGGUGAGUAACACGUGGGCAAUCUGCCCUGCACUCUGGGACAAGCCCUGGAAACGGGGUCUAAUACCGGAUAUGACACACGGGGGCAUCUUCUGUGUGUGGAAAGCUCCGGCGGUGCAGGAUGAGCCCGCGGCCUAUCAGCUUGUUGGUGGGGUGAUGGCCUACCAAGGCGACGACGGGUAGCCGGCCUGAGAGGGCGACCGGCCACACUGGGACUGAAACACGGCCCAGACUCCUACGGGAGGCAGCAGUGGGGAAUAUUGCACAAUGGGCGCAAGCCUGAUGCAGCGACGCCGCGUGAGGGAUGACGGCCUUCGGGUUGUAAACCUCUUUCAGCAGGGAAGAAGCCUUCACGGGUGACGGUACCUGCAGAAGAAGCACCGGCUAACUACGUGCCAGCAGCCGCGGUAAUACGUAGGGUGCGAGCGUUGUCCGGAAUUAUUGGGCGUAAAGAGCUCGUAGGCGGCGUGUCGCGUCGGAUGUGAAAGCCCGGGGCUUAACCCUGGGUCUGCAUUCGAUACGGGCAGGCUAGAGUUCGGUAGGGGAGAUCGGAAUUCCUGGUGUAGCGGUGAAAUGCGCAGAUAUCAGGAGGAACACCGGUGGCGAAGGCGGAUCUCUGGGCCGAUACUGACGCUGAGGAGCGAAAGCGUGGGGAGCGAACAGGAUUAGAUACCCUGGUAGUCCACGCCGUAAACGUUGGGAACUAGGUGUGGGUCACAUUCCACGUGGUCCGUGCCGCAGCUAACGCAUUAAGUUCCCCGCCUGGGGAGUACGGCCGCAAGGCUAAAACUCAAAGGAAUUGACGGGGGCCCGCACAAGCGGCGGAGCAUGUGGCUUAAUUCGACGCAACGCGAAGAACCUUACCAAGGCUUGACAUAUGCCGGAAAACUGUGGAGACAUGGUCCCUCUUUGAGUCGGUGUACAGGUGGUGCAU